CGGGACGGGUGAGUAACGCGUGGGUAACCUGCCUCAUACAGGGGGAUAACAGUUAGAAAUGACUGCUAAUACCGCAUAAGCGCACAGUGCUGCAUGGCACAGUGUGAAAAACUCCGGUGGUAUGAGAUGGACCCGCGUCUGAUUAGCUAGUUGGUGGGGUAACGGCCUACCAAGGCGACGAUCAGUAGCCGGCCUGAGAGGGUGAACGGCCACAUUGGGACUGAGACACGGCCCAAACUCCUACGGGAGGCAGCAUG
rnacentral:rRNA from 1 species